rnacentral:tRNA from 1 species
AUUUAAAUAGCUUAAUUAAGAGCAUAAUAUUGAAGAUAUUAGGGUGAUUAUUUUUAAUCUUUAGAUA